CUGGUAUCUUGAGUUCUAGUCCUGGCUCUUCACUGACAAACUGGGUGAUGCUAAAACCACCUUCCCCUAACCUCCCUGGGCUUCAGUUGCCCCAGCUAUGACACAAAGAGGUGGGGUUGGAUGCUUGCUCCCGACACUCACAUUCUGCGAUCCUAACAUCCACACAUCUUUCAAGUUGUAGAGCUGUGUGCCAACCAGGCAGUCGAAAGGACUUCUGUGGGCAUGAACAUGUUUCAGAGGCUGAGGGCACACGUGCUGACAGGGCAGCUGAUCAGGUGAGACGAGUGGAGCAGGGUGUGGACUUCUGCUCCCUCAAAGUCCCUGAUGAGUCGGGGAGCCCAGGAGAGUGGAGAAGAGGCAGGGUCUGGCUUCAGCAUCUCAUAUUCACCACCUCCAGGAGGGACACUCCUAUAGUCCUCCUGCUCAACUCAAGGGACUCAGACUCCUUCCUGACUGAGACGCAUGAGUGCCUUCUGGGGAGAGAGCAGCCCCAGGGUUCAAGUUGGGCCUCCUAAUCGCAGCCACAACUGCUGCAGGUCCGCCGAAGAUGCCAAUCAAUCAACCCAAUGCCACAAGCCCAAAUGGGCACAGGCAGACGCGGGCAGGGGCUGCAGGCUCCUCUACCUGGCGGACCCCGGCCUCCUGUCAUCCUUGCUCACCACUUGUGGCAGGACUCAAGCUCCUCUCCUGCGAAGGUUCCUGGCCUCCGUGCAAGUAUUCUUAACUCUUUACGCCUAACGAACAAGCACAGUUUUUUCAAUGGUGAAGAAAAAGCACCAGACUUUUUUUUUCCUGAAGAAAUUCCCCAAGCCCCCUGCCUGCCGGUGGGACGAACACUCCCCGUGUGGGGCUGUAGCAACGUCUGUCAGGUUCCCUCGUGUUUCAUCUCCUGCGUGCGCGUAGAGCAAAUGCUAGAGCGAUUUCAGCUGAUAGAAAAACAAAAAUGAAAAAAAAAACACAAAAAACAAAAAACAUGGCACGUUGCUAGUUUACAGGGUUUUGUGAGUUUAAAUGCCUUAUAUUUAACAAUCAUAAUUUAUGACUAACUUGUAGAUAUUGUGGGUUCUUAUUUAAUUAUUUUUAUAGUUGUUUUGCAUUUUUAAUUAUAAUUUAUUUAUUUAGAAAGGAUACUAAUUUUUUUUAUUACUCCUAUUACCUCAUUUUGGCGUUGUUUCUGGGAGUGGAAUGCUUUGCAUGCA
rnacentral:lncRNA from 1 species